ensembl:lncRNA
GCCACACGAGGAGCCUUAUGGAGCCACCUCACUCCUGCACGAGUUAAGCAUUCCUGCGCGUACGCAGAAGGUGGCAGUCCAAUUCAGGCAGCUGGACACGGCCCGCGCAUGUCAACAGAUAGAGCUUUGUUUCAACAGAUUCCUAGAUUUCCAAAGGAAAGUUAUUAUCGAGGUGAUGCAAAGGACUCAUCACUGUGCACAGCUCCAGCCAAGAGCCUGAAGGGCACCAAAACAGACGUGCCCCUGGAGGCUGCUACUACACAGAACAACUGGCAUCUUUGUUACAUGGCUGGAGGCACUGAGCCUGCUGCUUCAACUGCCAGAGCUACUAGAUCACUGCCAGUGGAGCUACAGCCUGUUCAGCUGUUACAGAAGGAGCUACUGGGCCUGGAUCACACAAGGAAAAAACCCUGCUGUGAGAGCUGCCAUCAGAAGAGGCAAAAGUCACAGCUGAAGUACCUGGUGAAUUUAGUGACACGGGACGAUUCCUAGCAACUGGGACGCCACAAAAAUGAGAUGGGAGAAUGCUUUCUGGAUGGUUGCCUGUUUACUGUUUGCAUCUCUACCCAGAGAUCAUCUUCAAGAUGUUGCAGAGGAAGGGAGAAGGGGACUCCAGCACAUUAUUUACACAACAGGAGCCAUGAUCUGACAGGUCAGUUGGACACAACGUGCCAUGCAUUUGUUGGAGAAACUGUCAUUUUGCCUUGUACCAUCACCUCUCCUGGAGAGCUGGAUGUUUCCGAUUCAAAGCUCUACUGGCAGAUAGAGUCUAUUUUAGUGCAUUUUUUUCACAAUGGGGAAGAUUCACUGAGGUACCAGGAUGAAAAUUAUCGUGGCAGAACCAGUCUUUUUUUGGAUGAGGUGAAGCAUGGCAACUUUUCCCUACAGCUUUCCAACAUCCGAUUAGAGGAUGCAGCUGUAUAUACUUGCAUCUAUAAACAGGCUAGGGCUCUCUCCAACAAAACACAGAAAUCUAAAAUUAAACUCGAUGUAUCAGGAACUAUUUCUUAUCAUGAAAAGAUAUUUCUUUUGAAAAAAAAAAAGAUUGGGAGAAGGGGAAGUGUUUGAAUUUUGCUAUAAGAGAACAAACUGAACUACACACUUGCAAGCACCGGAAGGUUUCUGUGUUUCUGGGUUUGGGGGCCUUGGAGAUGGACGAAAUAAGAGAAGUCUAACUUUUGCAACAUAAUUCUUUUCAUAAAAAGAAAAAAAAUGUUUCCUAUUGUCAACAUUAUUUUAAGAAAAAUAUAGCCUCAGCUCCCAAUUUUUGUAUUUCCAGCAAUUUCUUUACAAAGAGGGAGGAAGUGAAUCUGUUUUGUAUUAGUCUUGAGCCUGGGAGGCACUUGGAACUUCGGAUGUUAAAGGACCUGCUGAGAACAAGGACACUGCGUGCACAAAUAAUUCCCACACUUUGCCUUCAUUAUAAACAGAUCAGUAGAUAGGUCAUAUUUUAUAUAAAACAGAAAAAGGUUUGUUCAGUUUCACUUCAGUUUGUUUGUUUGCUAGGUUGACUUUUUUCGUUAACUGUAUUAAAAAGCCUAAUUUUCCUCUUACUUUGGGUUUCUUGGGAGACUCCUUCUGGGUCAAUAGAAACUUAGGUUCUAAGUUAGUUUCUGGGUAAAAAUGAUAGUCUAUUGGCCUGGAAGAGUUCUCAAGAAGAGAGGAAACUUGUUAUAAUCUUACAUUUACCUCAGAGUGUUCCUGAGGACUACCAGAUAUUAACAGGUUCCUUACAUGCCAUUGCAUUAUACUCCUCCUAGAAAGAGGGGAGGAAGGACCCAUACUAGUGACAAGUUAACUGUAGUGACACACUGAAAGGCAUUACCUGAAAGGGCUGAGACACUACAGCAAUAGGAACAGCCCAAGAAGUGGCACAGAAUUACAAGAUUAUACAGCCUCAUCUUCCCAGAGAAGGCAUUUGACCUGAACAGUGAUGGGAGAAGUAUCUCUACUGCUUUAGUCAGGGGUUCGAAAUCUUUUUUCAUCCUCAGCAUUGGUUGCAGAUACCAUCCUUGGCAAGGGUAAAGUCUUUGCUCUGUGCCAGGCUAUGCAGUGGCUUCUGUAGCAGUGGUGUAAGUACUACCAUCUGAGAGUCUGUGGCCUAGUUAUUUCAAUACUUACUACCAUUAUUUAAGGACACUUACUAGAAAUGCCUGCCUCAAGCCCUUGACUAGCUGAUGAUAAUGUACGGUAUACUCUUCUGGUUGUUUUUCUAUCAGAACUUUGAACAAAAAUUCUUAAGUCACCCCAGAAAUGAACACUGUAUUUAUUGUUGCUGAGUAUCUGUGCCUCUUCUGUGAAGGAAAAAUAUAUAUAUAUUUCUCACAGUCCCUUAAGACUGGCUUUUUCUGGAUGGUACAUGCACACACACAAAGCAGAAUUUUGCAAAAGAGUCAAAACCCACAUAAUGUUUUAAACAAUUUUGCCGCAGUGCAUUCAUGUAAAAUGUACCAGUAAAAUGCCACACAAAUUUCAAAUGUGCUUCUUGUCAAGCCACUAGUUACAUGAAAGCUUUUUCUUUUUUUAAUCUUUCAGAUAACAGUCAGGCUUCCCCAAGAAAUCCUGGUGAUGCACAGGGACUAGAUAUACUUGCUCUCUCUUUUCAUCUCCUGGUAACGCUGGUGGUUUGGCAUUUGUGACUGGGAAAGCUAAACUUCGGUUUGGGAAGUUCUCCUCAUCAGAGGACCUUGCUGUACAAAAUAGCUCUGUAAGGUUAGGACUGCUUCAGAGACACGUCAGAGGCACCGAUAUUUGGAAACACACCGAGCACUAGGUUUAUGUCCUGUAUUUUGGUGCGCAAAAGAAACCAAAGGCAGUAAAACUCAGAGGUGGCAAGCCUGCUUUUUCAUUUGUUUCUUGAAGCCCAGUUUUAGCGCUGCCAAUGUGAGCAUUUUAGUAUUUGAUGGUUUUGCUUUAAUGACAACUGCAGUUUAGAUGAAGACCUACAAAGCCACAUCAUCAUGUUAUAACUGGCCCCAGGGAGAGCUUUUGCUUAAGAUCCCAUCUACAGUCCUUCGAGAAAAUUGAAAGGAGAAGGGGUAAUUACCCUCUGUGUCAGAUAAAAACUGGAAGUAGGAAGAGGCUGUCUUCGUGAAACGUAAGGAUGGAAACCUUGUGAAAUCUGAGCCUGCGGAACUUUAGCUUCUAUUUUUACUCUUAAACGUCAUGGCUAUCAGUAGUGAUUUUUUUCCCACCCCCAAAAAAAUGAACUAUUUCUUCAGCAGAAGGGUAAAGCUGACAGAUGAAGAUGAGGGAGGUUAGAAAACUUCAGUGCAGAGGAAAAAAGUGCUGUAUUAUUACAAAACCCACUUCUAGAUAAGUCAAAGGCUUUAGAAGGCUGAAUUUAGUAUUUCCUCUUCUUGCCAUGAAAGUUGGAAAAGUAAAUGUCAUCAUCAGGCAAAAGCUGUAUUCUUAAGCUAGAACUGUGUGAUAAAAGAUUGAUAUUGUGACACUGUUUCUUGUUUAAGAAUGAUACCUUCAGAUGAAAAAAGGAAUUAAAAACUGGUCAAGGAAUGAUAACUGUUACCCAUGCAGGUAAAAUGUUCAAUGCAAGUAGUACAAGAUGUCUGGGGUAAAGCUAAGACUGAAAGGAUCCUGUUUACCAAGGGUAUCAAGAAAGUACAGAAGUUUUGUGUCAGGCCGGAGCCUUUGCAACUGCGCUACUACAGAACUGAGAAGUGUCUGGAGAACUGCUCACCUUGGUCGGCAUGAAGAGUGGUGAAUGCAAUGCAGUCCUUUUGCCUGCGCCCUCAAGCAGAGGAAAGUGACUCAUAAGGACGCACACAGAGUCAUUUUGAUUUGAAACAGUUCCACCCUCUUUCCAGAGGAAAGAUGGCGCUGUUUUUGCAAGGAAAGGACCUGUAUAAAACAGUGCUUAAAAUAGUACCCACUGAGGUAAAGAUUGUUAACUUUGACUUUCACUGGCAAAUGGCCCUUUCCCCAUGGUGGGGAAAACAGACAAAAUGCCACAUGCAGUGUGCACUGCUGCAGCAGUGAAGCUCAGUUGGUACUCAGGCUGCCCUUGCUACAGAGCAGCUUAGUAUAGCAACUGGGGACCCAUUUAGCAGACAGAUUUGAAUACUGAAAGACAGACAUACUGUGAUUGUCUCCUUUGUCCCACCCUCCAAACAUCGUUUGUCUCAGAUUAUAUAUAUUUUUCAAAACAGAAGAGUUAAUUAAAAAUAAAGCCUUAAAUUCUGAAAAAAAACCCUGCUAA